UGGGGAAUCUUCCGCAAUGGACGAAAGUCUGACGGAGCAACGCCGCGUGUAUGAUGAAGGUCUUCGGAUUGUAAAGUACUGUCAUUGGGGAAGAACGGUUUUCUUGAAAAGAUUGAGAAGACAUGACGGUACCCAAGGAGGAAGCCCCGGCUAACUACGUGCCAGCAGCCGCGGUAAUACGUAGGGGGCAAGCGUUGUCCGGAAUUAUUGGGCGUAAAGGGCGCGUAGGCGGGCCUUUAAGUCCGGUGUGAAAGAUCAGGGCUCAACCCUGAGAGUGCAUCGGAAACUGGAGGCCUUGAGGACAGGAGAGGAAAGUGGAAUUCCACGUGUAGCGGUGAAAUGCGUAGAUAUGUGGAGGAACACCAGUGACGAAGGCGACUUUCUGGACUGUAACUGACGCUGAGGCGCGAAAGCGUGGGGAGCAAACAGGAUUAGAUACCCUGGUAGUCCACGCCGUAAACGAUGAGUGCUAGGUGUAGAGGGUAUCGACCCCCGUUCUGUGCCGCAGUUAACACAAUAAGCACUCCG
rnacentral:rRNA from 1 species